UAGCCAUUUCCUUUUCACCCUAGCCACCCUCCCUCUUCCUCUCCUCUUUUCUCUUCAAUUUUUCUUUUAUUUUCCCUUGUGUGCCGCCGUCCAAACCACCAAGAGCCACCAUUCCUUUUUUCUUUCUUUUGCGAUGAGUUCUUGCACCAUUCUCAUCUCUUUCUUGCUACCAUUUUUCCAGCCUUAAACCUAAAAUCUUAACACCCAAGAACAAUCUCCAUUGUUGCCUAAGAAACUUCAUUGCUGUCCAUUCCUUCUAGUAAGUAUCGAGAACGUGUUGACGAUCAUGGGAAGGAAAAGGUUGAGGAUUAGUCCCUGUAUUCAAGUCGUUAUUGCAAACUAGCCCGAUUACAUAUUGUGAUAGGGAGAUCGGAUCAAACUUGAAGAAUCACACUAUCUCGAGGACUCUUUUAGUAGUUUUUGUAAACAUCCUAGCUUAUAUGGCAUGUAGUAGGGCUAAUUAAUUUGUUGUAAUGUUAAAGUUAUGUAUUAGUUGGUAUGCUCUUUAUAUGAUAAAUUUUAGAACCUCUUAUGGUAUGCAAUGUUAAAUUCUAAGUUGUGCUAAA